rnacentral:rRNA from 1 species
UUGAACGCUGGCGGCAUGCUUUACACAUGCAAGUCGAACGGCAGCGGGGGCUUCGGCCUGCCGGCGAGUGGCGAACGGGUGAGUAAUGCAUCGGAACGUGCCCAGUCAUGGGGGAUAACUACGCGAAAGCGUAGCUAAUACCGCAUACGCCCUGAGGGAGAAAGCGGGGGAUCGCAAGACCUCGCGCUAGUGGAGCGGCCGAUGUCCGAUUAGCUUGUUGGUGAGGUAAAGGCUCACCAAGGCGACGAUCGGUAGCUGGUCUGAGAGGAUGAUCAGCCACACUGGGACUGAGACACGGCCCAGACUCCUACGGGAGGCAGCAGUGGGGAAUUUUGGACAAUGGGGGCAACCCUGAUCCAGCCAUGCCGCGUGAGUGAAGAAGGCCUUCGGGUUGUAAAGCUCUUUCGGUCGGGACGAAACGGCGGAUGCUAAUACCAUCCGUUACUGACGGUACCGACAGAAGAAGCACCGGCUAACUACGU